UGGUUUAUAUUCCCGGCUUGUUGAGUCCGGCAAAGUGUCGAACUGAAGACCGAAGUGAAGAGGAAGUACUUUUUUUUAAAUGGAAAUAUAGAAAAUGCUACUUUAACUUUCUACUGCCGAGCGGAGGGAGAAGACGCUGUGUGUGAGCCAGCCAGCCAUGCCCGCCCAACCCCAUGUGAGGGAGCCGGAGGAGGAGAUGGAGGCAGAAGGAGAGUCACAACUCCCUGAGGCCAACGGAGAGGUGGCGCAGCUGCGAGGGGAUGAGAGGGGAGAGGAGGCCAUGGAGGACAGCGCAGAGGAGCGGGAUAGCGACCUGGACGAUAGUGAAGAUGAGGAGGAGAGUUCAGAAAUGGACGAUGAAGACUGUGAGCGGAGGAGAGGGGAAUGUCUAGACGAGAUGCUGGAUCUGGAAAAACAAUUUCAGGAACUAAAAGAGAAGUUGUUUCGGGAGCGGCAGAACCAGGUGAAAGUGAAGCUGGACGAGGUGCUGACGGGGAAGGCUGGAGAAUACAGAGAACCACUGGUUUCACUACAGGAAAGCAUGCAGAUACAAACACAAGUGGCUGGAGUGUACAGAGAGCUGUGUCUACAGGUGAUUCAACACAAGUACGAGUGUGAACAACAAGGAGCAAAGCAGCACCUGGAGAGUGAGCGGACGUUGCUGGUUGACGCCAUGAAGACUGAACUGCUGGAGAAGAUGAGAAGACUGGAGGAGGACAGACAGAGUACAGACCUCACCUCAGAGUGGAGCGAUGAGAUGAGGGGCAAGAAGUGUAAACGAAAGAACCUGCUGGGUGGGUCGGAGAGGAGAAAGAAAGUAGCUCUGGUUUCAGGGCCUUUCAUCGUCUACAUGUUGAGAGACAUCGACAUCCUUGAAGACUGGACUGCUAUCAAGAAGGUCAAACAAACUGAGUAGCUAUUUCAGCUGCCACAUUUUAAAAUGUCAUUUCAGUCAUUACGCUAAAUUAAGGCCAAAGCAGCACUGCCACCAUCAAAGAAGAGAGUUGAAAAACGGUGAUAAUAGGAGGAGCUGACUGAAGACUAAUGGCAAAAACCAAACUACACACACACACACACCACAUUCCCAGCUACUUCCACUAACUGUUUUGUCUCGAGACCCAGAAGAUUGUUGUGAUGUCAUUUUCCGCACUUUUGACCCUCGGCAACCAACCAACCACCCGGCUGCUUGUUUGUUCUCUUGCUAUUUAAAAUAAGUUCCUAAUGAUGCGACAACCAUGUAUUUAUAGAAUGAUUUAUAUAACAGUAAUUAAAAUUGUAAUCUUUUGUGACACAA